UACGGAGGGUGCGAGCGUUGUUCGGAAUCACUGGGCGUAAAGGGCGUGUAGGCGGUCCGCUAAGUCUGAUGUGAAAGCCCGGGGCUCACCCCCGGAAGUGCAUUGGAAACUGGCGGACUCGAGUCCCGGAGAGGAGGGUGGAAUUCCUGGUGUAGCGGUGAAAUGCGCAGAUAUCAGGAGGAACACCGGUGGCGAAGGCGGGUCUCUGGGCCGAAAUUGACGCUGAGGAGCGAAAGCGUGGGGAGCAAACAGG
rnacentral:rRNA from 1 species